AAAAAGAAAGAUGUGGUAUGAUAGCCAAUGAGACAACUAUCCACAAAAGACCAAAAUGACACAGACAUUUUAAAACAACUAUAGGUCACCGUACGGCCUUCAACAAUGAGCAAAGCCCAUACCGCAUAGUCAGCUAUAAAAGGCCCCGAUAAGACAAUGUAAAACAAUUCAAACGAGAAAACUAACGGCCUUAAUUAUGUAAAAAUCUCCCUUUCGCUUUUUAUAAAUUUUAGAUUUCACAUUUCCGAGUUAUGGGAUUUUAUUCAUGAAAAGGAGUGAUUCUCUAGUUUUCAGACAAUAACCUUAAAGUGCUUUGACCAUUUUUUGUUAAAUCUUGUUGACUGAUUUAUAUCUAUUAAGAUAACCCCCCUUUUUCAUAAAUUUCUGGUAUGAUAUUGAGAAGUUAUUGAACUGUAUUCUUGAAAACCGUUAGGCGUAUCAUGCGCUCUAGCUCAUGGCGCAGCUGUUUACUAUUUUUAUGCCCCACCUACAAUAGGAGAGGGGAUUUAUGUUUUCUGGUUGUAGCAUCCGUUUGUUCGUCCGUCCUUAUGUCUGUCCCGCUUCAGGUUAAAGUUUUUGGUCAAGGUAGUUUUUGAUGAAGUUGGAAUCCAAUCAAGUUGAAACUUAGUGCACAUGUUCUCUAUGAUAUGAUCUUUCUAAUUUUAAUGCCAAAUUAGAAUUUUUA
rnacentral:lncRNA from 1 species